CUCUCAGGCCCCUUCCUCUCAUGCAAUAGCCAACCUAGAAUGUACUCUGUUGCUCCUGCCUGAACCCAGGUCCUCUGGGCCUAUUUGGCCCCCAGGGAAUCUCUUCAAGUUCUGGGAUUUUUUUUUCUUGGCACCCUGGCUGGGACCUCAGGAAAAUAGCCCUGGGCAUAUUGCAGCCCUGGCAUCAUCUCUGUAGGAGAAACUUUGUCCCUGCAGGGAGAAAGUUUGCCUGCGAAGUCAGUAGGAGUUGGGGCUCCAGGCAGCUCCAACCUGAGAGCAGCAAUUUUUAAAAUCACAAUCUCAUUAAAAAUAAUGCAGACCGUCAGGAGGUGGGGGGUGCUGUCAGAAUGGGACAGGAGAGGCUAAAGGACUACCAUAAUUCCAGAAUGUCUGCAGGGGGUUGAAGGCUGGCCUCUGGCUUCCCCUAUUCAGGCAAACACUUCAGGCAAUUUUGAAGCAACCCAAAGUGUGUGCCCACUUGGGCUGGGUCUGAGGGUCUGAAUGUUGCUGGAGAUAUAAAACCAUCAUUGACUGCAUUAGGAAAUCUAGUUAGUUUGCAUGUAGUUUAACCUGUGUGAGUAACAGAUCUGAUAUUCAUUAACUCUUGAGGCCCAGUGAUGUUUGAAAAGUGUCUGGUUUUCCAUUUCGGGCCACACCUGAGCCUUUUGGCUGCCUCCAGUCUCAGUACAGCCACAGCCCAGGUGGGUGGAAAUGGCUCCCACCCCUCACAACUAAAUUCUCAGCUGAUUCUUUUGUCAUGGGUGAGAAGCAAAAGGGGCCCCUGACUAAGAAUAACAAACAUUUGGACAUUGGCAAGGCCUGGUACCUAGUCACUCACUCCAGAUCUUUAACCUUAUAGUCAGAAAGCUGGAAGAGACUGUGAGUUUAUGGGAUAAACUGAUAGGAGGACCAUAGUGUCUUCUUUAUUAUUUAAAGAAGUCUGAGAACUAAAUCAUUAGCUGAAUGUCCUGCAGACUCAUUCUCAACCUGCCGUCUUAUAUGAGAGUUAGUGUUUCACACACACACACACACACACACACACACACACACACACCAGGUCACCCCAAACUCUGCCUUCCAAAGUCCUCAGAUAAUCAAUCAGAGGGCAUCACUCCGGCCAGACCAGAGCUGUAUGCAGAAGGUUGAAUCUGGUUUAUUCUUCUCAUGAGCCUGUCCUAUCUAGAGUGAUUACUUGACACAAAAUGUGGUGGCAGGCUAGUCCUCUCCCUUUGCCACCUCCACCCCUUCACAUAACCUGAUACUCAGCCUGUGUUCUCAGAUGAUGAAGGUGGCUGUUAAUUUCUUGAUAUCAUUGUUAAUUCUUCCCCUUUCCCCCUUGGUCUUUCAAGGGAAGACAUAGCUGGCAAUGACGAAACAGUUUAAUUUAUUAUUGUUUGCAAGACGUGGAGGCCUGUGUGGAGAAUGCAGAGGGCCUCACAAAGAGAUAAAGAUCCCUGUUAUCUGAUUCAGAGGGAGACACACAGUUCUAUCCAGGAGGGAAGGAGCCUUAGACAAACAGAUAUUUCAUUCCUGACCACAGUCACCUAGGCAUUCUGUAGACACAUGAAGUCCUGGACACCGUGGAGGAGGAUACAUGUGUGUUCUGAUGGUGGUGGUGACUGUUUUAAUGAUUCACAAUAUGCAUGUCUUAACCCCAGUCUUGUCUGGGGAGCCCUGAAAGGUCAGGUCACAACCUGAACUGCCUUCACCAAGAAGCCUCUCAUUUCAAAGGCACUUAUGGCACUUAUUGUAAUUUCACAUAUCAGGAAAAGAAAGAAAGAGAGAAAGAAAGAAAGAAAG
rnacentral:lncRNA from 1 species